rnacentral:rRNA from 1 species
AACGAACGCUGGCGGCAGGCUUAACACAUGCAAGUCGAACGCCCCGCAAGGGGAGUGGCAGACGGGUGAGUAACGCGUGGGAAUCUACCCAGUUCUACGGAACAACACAGGGAAACUUGUGCUAAUACCGUAUACGCCCUACGGGGGAAAGAUUUAUCGGAAUUAGAUGAGCCCGCGUAAGAUUAGCUAGUUGGUGGGGUAAUGGCCUACCAAGGCGACGAUCUUUAGCUGGUCUGAGAGGAUGAUCAGCCACACUGGGACUGAGACACGGCCCAGACUCCUACGGGAGGCAGCAGUGGGGAAUAUUGGACAAUGGGCGAAAGCCUGAUCCAGCCAUGCCGCGUGAGUGAUGAAGGCCUUAGGGUUGUAAAGCUCUUUCAGUAGGGAAGAUAAUGACGGUACCUACAGAAGAAGCCCCGGCUAACUUCGUGCCAGCCGCCGCCGUAAAAC